UUUUCUUCUACUUGUUUUAUUUUCUUCUACCUCCAGCCGCAUCUCUUUCUAGCUUGCUGGAAACAAAUCUCCACAUGAUUGAACGGCAUAAACGUCACCGUCCUCUCCGCAACUUCACAACUAACUAAGAAAUUUGGGAUUGUAGUUAGGUUUCGACUUGUAAAUUUGUUAAUUAGCUUGUAAAUUUUUUUAAUUAGUUGUAAACUUUUUUCGGUUAACCAAAUUAACCGAAAAAAAAAGAAAUUCGGUUUAGUUCGGAAGUCAUUUUACAGCAUGUAACUGAACCGAAUAACCCGAGUACCGAAUAACCCGAACCGAAUUGUAAUUCGGUUUAAUUC